rfam:Asian citrus Psyllid, Diaphorina citri - Florida Strain, whole genome shotgun sequence.
GCCUAGUUAGCUUGGAAGGUAGAGCGUCUGCCUUGUAAGCGCUAGUCCGCGGGCUCGAUUCCCGCCCGAUGCG